rnacentral:pre_miRNA from 1 species
UCCCAUCACAUGGCAAUGGCACUGGAAGAAUUCACGGGUUGAUUUUAAUAUUCCCGUGAUCUCUUGGUGGCAUCAUCAUAGUGAGUGGAU